UGUGUUUAGUCACGCCGCUUCAAAAAUGUUCAGCAGGGUUACUUUCGGUUUCUCGUUGUUUACCAACACUUCGCGUAUUAAAUGUAUUAGUUUGGGAUGUAUGGGGGUACGUAUUUGUUUGUCAACGUUUGAUAAGCUACCAUUGGUCAAAUUCAACGGAAGACUUAGAGAAGACGACGAUGUUGCAGUGUAACUUGCAGAUCUAUGCAGAAGGCCUAACUGUCUAGGAACCCUAGGCCCUAUAACCCUGUCUAGUACAGUACUAGCCAUAGUGGGACAUGAAAAGAACGUAUUAGACUCGGUGAAACCUACCAAAUAGGUGCUGUGAUGGUGUACACAUAUGACCUGCUUUGGUCUGAAUGGUUUGCUAUUAAACUAUGGACAGGACAGUCAUAUCAUCUGUGAAUGACUGACCAUGCUGAUUAUGUCAAAGCUGUGGAAUAUUUCUACAUAAAUGAUCAUCGUACUCAUCAAAGACACAACAGAAUGCGAUAUAUGCUACCAAAAAUGACCAAGACAAAACAAAAAUGUUAUAUGGGGAUAUAGGAAGUGGAUCAUCCAUUUUCCUUGCCUUUCCCUCGAGGUCUUCAGGCAGUGUCUCUAUACAUCAUUAACCAUGUUGGUUAACUCUCAUGAUGUCAUGCCAUUACUGCCAGAUACCUAUAAUACUGCCAGACUACCUAUAAUGAUACCAAAAUAUCAGAAUUAAAAUUUCAAAUACACUAGAUUUGAAGCAGCAAAAGAACAGAAUUGCAGAUGUAUAAUACACAAAAGGAUAUUGAUUCUUACCCGGCUGAAAUUGAUAUUAUGAAAAUUGAUAAUUGAUAUGAUAAUAUGAUAAUUGAAAAUGAAUUAAUAGUUGAACUUUCCCUCAGCUGUUUUACUGCAUACCAGUCAAUAAUUCCAGUUAACAUCAGGAGUACAGUCAUUGUUAUCAACCUGUGUAUAUAUGUUGAAUAGAUUAUGAAGAAAGAAAA